rnacentral:rRNA from 1 species
CGGGUUGUAAAGCUCUGUCGGAAGGGACGAAAAUGGCUAGGGUGAAUAGCCUUAGCAACUGACGGUACCUUCAAAGGAAGCACCGGCUAACUCUGUGC